AUUUCUCAGUGUCCUCAGAGUGCUCACUAUACCUCCAGCACCACUACCCGAUUCCAGUUCAUUUCGCCACCCCAAAAACGAUGUCCCAGCUCUCGGAUCCCUCCCAGUCCCAUAACCAUGGAUUCCUCCACCAGCACUACCAACAUCGCCACUUCCCAUCUUCAUUCUGGAAACCCCUUACGGCCAAGAGGAAACUCUCCAGUAUACUAGCAGCGAACGCGUGAUAUGAUCACCUUAUGCAGGACCCCAUGCCACGAGCAGUUGUCAUGUUUACCUAGGCUCCUCUUGGCUGUGACACUUUCUCAAACAUUUUAUGUCUCCGAUGACCUUGAAAGCUUUGAAGAAAACUGGUCAGCAGCUUUGUAGACCACGCCUCUGUUGGAAUUCUUCUGAUGCUUCUCUUGAGGAAAAGCAUGGAGGAAGAAGAUCACAGAAAUAAAGCACCAUUCUUGUCUUGUGUCAAGGUUUAUGCCAUCACAUGGUUUAGCGUUCCUGAUGCUGACCUUGGUCCCUGGCUGACGUCAUGCUGUCAAGCUUCUCCACUGUAAAGUUACCCCCCAACCUUCCCCUACCUUACUCUUUGGAAAGAAGUCACUCUGUUCAGCCCCUAUUCAAGGAGCUGGCAAUUACACCUCCUUUCAUCGAGUGGACAGGAUAAUCCUAAAUUAUCUGUUUGAAAUUCUUUUUCAUGUGGGCUGUGUCUAUUCCCCGCAUUUAUUUAGAUCAGUAUGAAGUCUCGGAUAUCUAUUUUAUAUAUAUUUUUAUAAUCCAAAGCUUCUUACUUUUUUGUGUGUGCUCAAACCACGCCAGCUAUGGCCCCUGGCAGUCUCUCCGGCUGACUCCAGUGCCACGGGAGCGUGCCUCCAUCAGUUAGCACUCCCUUAUUUUCUGACACUAUGACAUUCUCUAGGUUCCCCUGGUGUAUUUUGUGACCCAGUCCUAGAACCAGCCAUUUCUUUGAGGCUCCCUGGUUCAUUUUAGUGGAGAACGGUGUUAGAUGCAUGUACUUACUGGGGUAUUAUUUCUUUUAGGCUGUAUAAGCAGACAGAGCAAGUAAAUACAUAUAUGCAUAUUAAUGUGUGGACUUACACGCAUCUACUGGUAUUUCUAUAUGUAAAGCUCUGUAUUCAUAUUAACUAACAUGGGUUCUACUGGUUUCCAAUGCUAUCCAUUAUGACGUGGAUCACUGUAGUCUCCUCCCCUUGCUUAUCCGUAAACUCCACCUCUAACAGUGAGAAACCCCGCUCCCACUACGUCUCAGGCAUGCACUUAAUUGUUCAAACCCAGGAUGAACACAAAGCAGCAUUGGUGAAACAUUGUCAGCCCCGACCCUUGGGGGAGGCAAUGCAAUCCACAGAGCACAGUGCUUACUUUGGCUUUAGUCUCACAGACUGCUCAUUCCCAAACCUACGGACUUCAACAUUUUUUGCCCUGAGUCCCUUCAGUGAGGUUGUUUCAUACAUUUGUCAUGCACAGUCUGCAUUCCACCCUGAGAUCCUUAGCUUUCUAAGUGAAGUUUAAAUUUCCAUAGAUUGAGGUUCAUUGUAUGUUCUGUAAAGUUCUGUGGGUUUCCACAAAUGUUAAAUGCCAUGUGCUUGCCAUUAUGGUAUCAUACAGAACAGUUCUGACCCCUAAAAACUCUCUGUGUUUCACCUAGUCAAACCUCCCUUCCCCCUAUGAACCCCUGACAACCACGGAUCUUUUUUCCUAUCUCUAUAGUUUUGCGUGUUCCAGAAUACAUAUAAUUGGGGUACUACACUAUGUAGCCUUUUCAGACUGUCUUCUUUCACUUGAUGUAUUAACAUUUUAAAUUAAAGGGAAAUACCUAAUUUGUGAUCACUGAGAAAGUAAGAAAUAAAACAAUGUGUGCCUGUA